GAUCGGAAAAGAGUAGUGAGUAACUGUGGUUGUCCGUCGGUAUCUCCUGUGAUUUGUGAGUUGAGUAGUACGCCUGUAGCUCAGUCCCUUUCUGACUUCACUGUUCCCUUCAGAGCUGCUUCGAGAGAGAGAACGCAGCCGAGUAACUUACCCCGAAAGUUUGUGAGUACUUUGUUUCUCUGGAUAUUUCUUCAUUAAGACUGUAAAAAUGUCCUCCAAACAAGAAAUAAUGGAUGACCAGCGGUUCAGGCGGGUUUCAAAGGAUCCCAGAUUUUGGGAAAUGCCAGAAAAGGACCGAAAAGUCAAAAUUGACAAGAGGUUUCGAGCCAUGUUUCAUGACAAAAAAUUUAAAUUGAACUAUGCCGUUGAUAAAAGAGGACGUCCUAUUAGCCACAGCACUACAGAGGACUUGAAGCGUUUCUAUGACCUUUCAGACUCUGAUUCUGAUCUCUCUGAUGAAGAAAGUAAAGUACUGGAUGAAAAGAGAGUGAAGGAGAAAAAAAAACAGACCAAAAAGGAAACAAAGUCAAAAACACCGAUUGAGGAGAAAAAGAAAGAAACCAAGAAAACUGACCAAAAGGAUUCUAUAAAUAAAAAUGACUUAAAUAAUUCUGAAAGAAUUCAGAAAAUGAAAAACUCACAUAAAUCUCCGAAGAUAGAUUCAGAAGUAAGUCCCAAAGAUAGUGAAGAAUCCCUACAAAGUAGAAAAAAGAAAAGGGACACCACUGACCUUAGUGUUGAAGCUUCGCCCAAAGGAAAACUGAGGACCAAAGAUCCCAGUACCUCUGCAAUGGUGAAAUCUUCAACAGUCAGUGGUUCUAAGGCAAAA
rnacentral:lncRNA from 1 species